GAAACCAAAAAAGACAAAAAAUUCAGUGGAACCUGAUGCAGAAGAAUUAACCACAUCUGUCAAUGGUAAUACAAGCUCACCAAACAUCAUCAUAGAGCCGAAUUCAAGAAAACGAAAAUCAUCAGAGCAUACCACAGAGUACAAGUACUGUUGUUGCAAACUGG